rnacentral:rRNA from 1 species
GGAAUGAUGGUGACCUAAACCCUCACCAGAGUAACAAUUGGAGGGCAAGUCUGGUGCCAGCAGCCGCGGUAAUUCCAGCUCCAAUAGCGUAUAUUAAACUUGUUGCAGUUAAAAAGCUCGUAGUUGAAUUUCUGCGUUAUCGAGUUAUUGACUCUUGUCUUUAAUCGAUUUCGCUUUUGGGAUUUAUCCCUUUUUACUUUGAGAAAAUUAGAGUGUUUCAAGCAGACUUUUGUCUUGAAUACUUCAGCAUGGAAUAAUAGAGUAGGACUUUGGUUCUAUUUUGUUGGUUUUUGAACCUUAGUAAUGGUUAAUAGGAACGGUUGGGGGCAUUCGUAUUUAACUGUCAGAGGUGAAAUUCUUAGAUUUGUUAAAGACGAACUACUGCGAAAGCAUUUGCCAAGGACGUUUCCAUUAAUCAAGAACGAAAGUUAGGGGAUCGAAGACGAUCAGAUACCGUCGUAGUCCUA